rnacentral:rRNA from 1 species
CGAGUGCCCCAAGCGUUAUCCGGAAUCAUUGGGCGUAAAGGGUGUGUAGGUGGUUGUGUUAGUCUUCUGUAAAAUCCUUCGGCUUAACCGGGGUCCUGCAGAGGAAACGGCACAACUAGAGGAUGCGAGAGGUAAAUGGAACUCAUGGAGUAGGGGUGAAAUCCGUUGAUAUCAUGGGGAACACCAAAUGCGAAGGCAAUUUACUGGCGCAUUCCUGACACUGAAACACGAAAGCGUAGGUAGCGAAUGGGAUUAGAUACCCCAGUAGUCUACGCCCUAAACGAUGACAACUAGCUUUUCGGAGUAUCGACCCUCUGAGAGGCGAAGCUAACGCGUUAAGUUGUCCGCCUGGGUAGUACGGCCGCAAGGCUA